GAUGAACGCUGGCGGCGUGCCUAAUACAUGCAAGUCGAGCGAACAGACGAGGAGCUUGCUCCUCUGACGUUAGCGGCGGACGGGUGAGUAACACGUGGAUAACCUACCUAUAAGACUGGGAUAACUUCGGGAAACCGGAGCUAAUACCGGAUAAUAUAUUGAACCGCAUGGUUCAAUAGUGAAAGACGGUUUUGCUGUCACUUAUAGAUGGAUCCGCGCCGCAUUAGCUAGUUGGUAAGGUAACGGCUUACCAAGGCAACGAUGCGUAGCCGACCUGAGAGGCUGAUCGGCCCCACUGAAACUGAGACACGUUCCAGACUCCUACGGGAGGCAGCAGUAGCGAAUCUUCCGCAAUGGGCGAAAGCUUGACGGAGCAACGCCGCGGGAGUGAUGAAGGUCUUCGGAUCGUAAAACUCUGUUAUUAGGGAAGAACAAAUGUGUAAGUAACUAUGCACGUCUUGACGGUACCUAAUCAGAAAGCCACGGCUAACUACGU
rnacentral:rRNA from 1 species